CUGGUACUUUAACCCUGAAUCAGGUGAAUUAUUAUGUAGUUUUUUGCAUAGUUUUGUGGUUCAUAAUUUUGCAUUGUGAAAGUAGUUGCAAAUGAGGAGGGUGGGUCGUGCUGGUUGCUUUGUUCUAGAGAUGCAUGGAAAAGUGGUGGGGAUCAUGAUAAAAUUUCACUUUGUUUCUCUACAAAGCUCAGACCAUGUCAAUUAGUGGAUGAUAAGAUUUUAAAACUGAUAAUAUUACAUGCCUGCAGAAAUUAGGUUUGUUUUGGAAGAAAAUUAUCCAGGAGCAUGUUUGAUUUGUUGUGAGGAAAGAGUUUGUUGUUGCAACUCCUUUCUUUUUGGUCAUAGGUAUAUAGACAAAGUUUUUCUAUUUUUUUCCAUCUGUUUGAAAGCUUCUGUUUCUUUUAUUCACAGAUGACUGUUGUUG
rnacentral:misc_RNA from 1 species